UAUAACCGCAGCUUCACGUCGUCUCAGAGCCCCGCCCUCUAUCUGACUGUGGGAGACUUGGUGAGAAAUCUGAUCAUCAGGGUGGUUCUGGUCCACUUCAUCCUGAUCACGGGGAUCAUUUUCCUCUACUUCUACUGUCGGGCCAGUAGGGGGCGCUUCACACUGAAGAUACGGAAGACAGGAUGAGAUACACGACCACAGACACAGUCUACGACCACAGUCUACGUCCACAAAACACCAUCCUUCUGACUUAACCUACUGAUGAUGUGUGAUAAACCUGUCAGAUUUUGUUUUUAGUCCAAUGUCCUGAAGGUCCGAUGGACGACUGGGAUCAGCUGUGGUCCAUAAACAGUUUUUCCAGAACCUUCUUCCCCAAAACUGUCGAUUAGAAUGAGUUGGUAUUUGUUGUGGAACAUCUUUGGGCUAAGGUCUACCAAGUUUGUUCACAGAAUCGGGAAAUAUUGAUUUGUGAAUUUAAUAUGAAUUUUUAAAAAUUUUCUAAAUCCCCAUUGGUUUAUAAUGGGACCCAUUUCAAAGUGUUAUAAAUUGAAACAGUUGAAGAUAUUGAUCUAAUUACUAUUGAUAAUAGAUAGGAAGUCAUAUAUGGGCUUUAAUUUGGUGCAGUGACCUUUGACCUGGAGUGACCUUGAAAGGUCAAGCAAAUGUCAAUUAAUGUCUUUGAAUAUGAACUACAAGACCCU